UUCCCAGACGUUUGCUGACUGACUGACAGACUGACGGAGUAGAGGAAUGAAUGGGGGAACUGCGGACGGACUCUCACAGAUGCAGCUCUCCCUGCUCGCCUGCCCCGGACAGCCACGAAGCCCUCCUGCCCUGUCUCCAGAGUCCCCGAGGCUCCAACGAGGAUUUCACACACCCGGGCAGCAUUUUCCCAGCAAAGAUUCCCAUUCAAGACAUGGUGGCCGAACACAAAAUCCAAGAAGGCUGAGUUUUGAAGAAACACAUCAUCUGGUCGGGAAGACAGGUCAACUGCUAAUCAAGGUGGGACAGAGCAACGCCCUUGAGACAAUUAGACACGCGAAUGUGGCUGAAUAACAUCCCAAGACUUUGCCCUGCCCUUGGAGACAGCAGUGUACGCCCCAGACCUCCAUGGCUCCUUAAGCUGAGAAAGUAAAAAUUCACCUGGACCAAGAUAGUAAACAUCUGGCCAGCCAUUCAUCGUUCUGGAAUGACAGAUACGGAUAAAGCCAGCUGCAAAGUUAGCAGGAAAAAAUAUUUUUCCUAAGGACAUGCUGCAGCUGUAAAAUGUCAUACCUCCCUUCUUGGAGUAAUGACUGCUUUCUUACUGGCCAAGAAACUUUGUUCUAUAAUGUCAUAGACUACUGGAAACUUUGAUGUUUGAAAUUUUAUCAGUAAGAAGAAAACCUCCCAUUCUUGCCCUGAGAAUCUAAAUCCUUGGGACAGAGAAGCAGCCCCUGGUUCCAACCCAGGGCAGAGCUCCAGAGAAGGAGUUUCUGGAAGCAACAUUCACAUCUGUCUUAACUUUGCCAUUUCCAUGGAAACGGGAACCCCGUAUCCGCUUUGUAGUCUGGACUUGAUGUGGAUCCCUGUUCACAGAGCCCUGCUUUGCUCCAGCCUCUCAAAACACUGUUGCAUUUAAAUGUUACCUACAUCCUACCCUUCUCCAGAAUUCUAUGAUAACUCUAUCUUUGUUUUUUCCUCUGGUGUGUGGUCUCCCUCAUUGCAAUGAGUCAAUAAAUCUGGCUUUGUCAGACUCCAGGUUUGUUCUGGACAGACUUUGGUUGAUUGGACCAAGACAGACUUUUUAAAGCCUCAACUCCAAGACUUCACUCAAGAAACCUGUGCUCUGUGUCAUCCCUAGCCCAGUGCUCCUCAAACUUGAGCUCGCAUGAGAAUCACCUGGAGGGCUGGUUAAAGCAUAAGUUGCUGUGCCCCACUUCCCACAGUUUCUGAUUCAGUAAAUCCGGACUGGGACCCUGGAAGUUGCAGUUCUAGAAAAUUCCCAGGUGAAGCUGAUGCUGCUGGCUCCUGCAACCACAAUUUGGAAACCCUGCCCUAGACCAACCCACAUCAUCUUGGCAGAACAGAGUCAUGAGGAUUAAGUGACAAACGUGUAAAGGACUCACUUCAGGAUUCAAUUCAGUAAGGGCUCGGUAAAUAUAUGUGAUUACUAUUCUUUUUAAGUGAACUACUCAGAUUCUCAAAUAAUCCACUCAUCUGUCCAUUUUUUCUUUCAAUAUAAUGGCAGGUUUACUCUGUGGUCAUCUGGGAGCUUAGAAUCUAGGAGGAAUUCAUUAUAACACAAGGUAGAAGGAAAUAAGAUCCUUGCAUAGAUGUUGAAAAUAUAAAUUCAGAGGCAUAUUGUUAAUUUUGUAUAUUUUCUUCCAGUUAGUAUUUUUAUCACGGACAUCUCCCCAUGUCAUCAGAAAACUUCCCAAACCAGAAAGGUUAAGUUAUGUCUAUGCUGUAUUUUUGUUUAAUUCUAUU